rnacentral:rRNA from 1 species
GAUCGCUGGCGGCGUGCUUAACACAUGCAAGUCGAGCGAAUUCUGGCAGCGUAUCGUCAGAGUUAGCGGCAGACGGGUGAGUAAUACUUGGGCAAUCUGCCCUUGAGUGGGGAACAACCUGCCGAAAGGCGGGCUAAUGUCCCAUAAGACCACAGGAUGGCAUCAUCCAGGGGUCAAAGCUCCGCAAGGGGCGCUUGAGGAGGAGCCCAAGUCCUAUCAUGGUAGUUGGUGAGGUAACGGCUCACCAAGCCUUUGACGGGUAGCCGGCCUGAAAGGGUGAUCGGCCACACUGGCACUGAGACACGGGCCAGACUCCUACGGGAGGCAGCAGUGGGGAAUUUUGGACAAUGGGGGCAACCCUGAUCCAGCGACGCCGCGUGAAGGAUGAAGGU